rnacentral:lncRNA from 1 species
GCCACCUUCUCGGGACUCGAGGCUUCGACGUACCUGUCUCCUCUCAGAACACGGUGCCCCAAGAGCGGGAGAAGCGGGACCAGCGCUGUGGUUGCCAUGGAAACCAUUGAAUGCAAAUGUCAUUUUCUGCCUUGCCCAGCUAAGCUAUCGAUUCAGCAAGAGGGAAAGAAAUAGGGAGCAGUUCCUUCCCCAAGUGAAGCAGAAGGAAGUGUGGUCAGGUGUAGCGAAACCUCUUAGAGGAGAGGAUGGAGUGGGGUCAGCUGUGCCCGCCGCCCAAGGGGCAAAGGCGGAGGGGCUCCCUGGAGGGUGUCUGCCCCCGUGAACCCACUGGCACAGGUAAGCCACACUCCGGUCGUCCGAUCCCAGCUCUAGACCACUAGCUGCGUGAGCUGGAGCAAGGGCUGAGCCUCUCUGAUUCUUCAUGUGUUAAAAAAAAAAAAAAGUUGAGAAAAGCUGAAAUUGGUAAGGCUGGUCCUGGGAACACGCUCACCCCCUCCUCUACAGCUCCCCCCAGCGCGCGCUUCUCCUUUCCAGCCUGAAGUCUCCUCCGUCGUUGUCACCGUGACAUUCAGCACACCCACAAGAAGAACGCUGUCCCCGGAAGCUGCCGUGAGAAGUCUGAGGUCCCAUGAAAGGAACUAAGAGGGAGACGUUAAGGAGAAGGGACCCGGGACAGGCUUGAAUGGAGCGGCUGCCUCCCUCAGCCCAGGCCUCUCCUGACGGGAAUGAUGAAGCGGUGGGGAGACAGCGGAUUGAAAGAGAAGUCGGCUCAGCGGGGAAGCUCAGAUUGCCUUCCCGGACCACAGGCUGGGAACCAGGAGAGGAGACUGCGAGAUUGACAGGCCCGGUGCUGUCUGUAAUUAGAAAAUAAAUUACUUUGCCUCAAAGAAGCACGCUUGGUCCUAGCAGCAGGAUAAGGGGAUCAGAGGCGAGGAGCCAUCCACAGCCUGACGGGUGCAGAGCCAGCGCCUAUCAGCCUGUCCAGGCGGCCGAGGCCCCGACGAGGUGAGGGGGCAGGGGUCCGGGGCG